AUUAUUUUUAUUCAAUCAGAUCUCAUCUCUGUGUCCUGUUCAUGAAGAUUUGAAAGAUAAAAAUAAAUGCAGGUCAUAAGAGUGGACAGAUAAAAAUCUUUAAAAAAAUCAAUAUCAACACAAAUGUGUCUUGUGAAUGUAAUGAUCAGAUUAAUAUAAUGAACACAUCGUUCAUAUCUUACACAUCUCUGUAAGUCAGAUUUCUGCUGUAUUGAGCAAGAAGAUUUUCAUAAUCUGUUUGCAUAUCAGAUGAGAUGUUUCAGAUCUCUGAGAGUUUAUAGUGCUGUGAGUUUAACACUUCAUAACUCAACACAACACACAAAACUAAACAUCAACAAUGACCUUCACCAUCAUCUUCAUCUCGACACUUUUAUUCUCAUUACAAGGGUGUAAAUCACAGAUCACAGUAACUCAAAGUACUUUAGUGAAAACUGCAGCACGAGGAGACUCUGUUACUCUGAACUGUAAACUCAGUUCUCCUACUACAGGCUAUAACCCACCCACUGUGUCCUGGUACUUACAGAAACCUGGAGAAGCUCCUAAACUCCUGAUAUAUCGGGUCAGCACUCUUCAGUCUGGAACUCCAUCAAGAUUCAGUGGCAGUGGAUCAAACACAGAUUUUACUCUGAGUAUCAGUGGAGUUCAGACUGAAGAUGCAGGAGAUUAUUACUGUCAGAGUUUACACUGGAUCAACAGUAAAAAUCUGUUCACACAGUGAUAAAGAGUCGUACAAAA